CCGGCUCCGCCCCCAGCCCGGAGCUAUCGCGAGAGGGCCGGCGUUCUCGCGAGCUCCGCGCUGUUCGCCGGCGCCGACGCGGGGCACGUGACGCAGGAGCCAGGCCGGGGCCUCCAUGUUGGUUGUGGGCAGAGGCGGCCCGGGCGGGGUUGCCAUGGGGACGGGGCGGCCUGUCCCAGGGCUGCGAAGGGCCAGGCCAGGCCCCUGCCCAAGGUACCGAGCUGCCCCCCAGGCCCAGGUGCCAAACCCAUCCCGCAGGCCUGGGCCCAGCCAGCACCCCUGGAGCCAAACCCCAUGACCGCACCUGUGCUCUGCUGGGUUACAGGCCGCGCGGGAAAUCCAGCAGCCAAGGGCCCGUGAACCCCACCCCCGGGGCUGGCAGCCUCAAGUGUUCACAAAUCACACCCCUGGCUUCAAAACGGACUAGAACGGUGCGGCCCCAUUGCUGGGCGUGGGCAUGUGUCUUUUAGUUGGGUUCUGAACCUCUAGGCCGCAUCCACUUUUCUCUGCAACCGCGAGGGACAGGAAAUGACCUGACCAGAGCGGGGAGUCGCUGACGGCCAUGCCUCCAGGACCUGGAGCUUUGAGACAGGUGUCAAAUAUCACAGCACUUGUGGUAAAACUCUGAAAGUUGGCAACACUGAAAUUCCCCAACACAAGGGGUAAUGUCAAAUAAAACCCACACCGAAUCCUCAAGAGAGAAUCAGUCACCCAGCGGGAAAGGUUAUAACACAAAGAAAGCGAAGUGCCACAGGAGAACAGAAACAGAAGGAAAACAGCAUCAAAGGUUGCAGGAUCUUAACAAUAUGCCACUCUUCAAUGCCCCAGAGAACUUCAGCUUUGAGAAAUCUUCACAGUGGACAGCCUGGAAGCAGGAUUUUGCAAGAUUUCAAAUGGCAAACAAGCUUUACAAAGACACUGGAGAUAUACAGGUAUCAUCCGUAAUUUAUGCUAUAGGGAAGUAGGCAGAGGAUAUCUUUAAAUUCUUUGACUUUUCUGAAGCCAGUCACAAAGAGGACUAUGAAAGGGUUCUGGUUAUGUUUGAUGCCUACUUUAUACCCCAGAGAAAUGUGGUUUAUGUUUUCAGCAGAAAAUUUAAGAACGAGGGGAAAACGUUGAAUGUUUUAUAAGAGCUCUGCGUGCAUUGGCUGAAAACUAUGAUUUUGGAAAUUGUGAAACACAAAAAUCUUUCACAGCAGCUACAGUUGAAUCAUAGAAUCUCAGGGUUGGAAGGGACCUCAGGAGGUCACCUAGUCCCACCCCCUGCUCAAAGCAGGACCAAUCCCCAACUAAGGCCGAAGACAGCCUUAAGUCUAGCUACUCCUAUAUAGACAGCUGCAGCUGUGCUACUGUACUGCUUUCAUGCAGACACUAUCUAUGCCAAUGGGAGGGGUACUCCCCUCAGUGUAGGUAAUCCAUCUCCCCCAGAGGCAGUAACUGUCUACAGUUGGGGUCAGGUCAGCUUAACUACAUUGCUCAGGCUGUGGGUUUUUCACAGCCCUAAGUGACGUAACUGAGCCCACCUAAUUUUUUAGUGUAGACCAGGCCUAGCUUAGAAGCUGUUAUCAGAGGCAGCAUGAAUGCUAGAAAUCAUUGUCAUAAAACCUCUAAGGCAAGGUGUAACAUUAUUGACGUGAACUGGGACAGUAUAGAUCAUUGGUACAACCAAGGUUCUGUAGUGGUACCAAAUCUUGUAUAAAGGGGGUCAAAUAAGGUGUCUAAGACAAGGUUAUGUUUGCUGGUUAUGAUUAUGCUACCUGUGUGCAUGGAUCAUUUUUGUAUUUAAAGUUAUAAGUAUUGGCUCUAGACUGUCUGUAUUUCAAACUUGUGCUAUGCUUUUGGGUGACACCCCAGACAAGUUGGUGUCAGCUCUGCCUAGCCUGCUUAAUGGCCCAUUAAGAACCAUCAGCCAUACAACUGACCCAUUGAGAGAAGGCAGAUACACCUUGUGACUCAGCAAGGUAUGCAGGGACAUGCCUACGAGGUAUGCAGGGACAUGCCUACGGACAGAACUCUGAAGUUCUUUCAUGCCAUGUGCUGGGCAGCUUGUCUUUGGAACAAAGGAAGAAAGACCACAAGGCAAGAGACUGUAAAAGUCUGCUGCAGCUCCUCCAUCUUGUCUUCAGUCCUGCUUCUUGCCUCUGGAGGGACUUUGCUACAAACGGAAGCUCUGAACAAAGGACUGAAUGACCCAUCCCAGCUGGGGAUGUUCCAGAG